ACGGGGCGCAGCAGGCGCGAAAACUUCACACUGCGCGAAAGCGCGAUGAGGGAAUCCCAAGUGCUUGCACGUAAGUGUAAGCUGUUUUUCUGUUUAAAAUGCAGAGAGAGUAAGGGCUGGGUAAGACGGGUGCCAGCCGCCGCGGUAAUACCUGCAGCUCAAGUGGUGAUCGCUAUUAUUGGGCCUAAAACGUCCGUAGCCUGCUUGGUAAAUGCCUGGGUAAAUCGUGCCGCUCAACGGUACGAAUUCCGGGUAGACUGCCAGGCUUGAGACUGGGUGAGGCUAGAGGUACUCCUAGGGUAGAGGUGAAAUUCUGUAAUCCUGGGGGGACCACCAGUGGCGAAGGCGUCUAGCUAGAACGGGUCUGACGGUGAGGGACGAAGCCCUGGGGCGCGAACCGGAUUAGAUACCCGGGUAGUCCAGGGUGUAAACGCUGCUUGCUUGAUGUUAGUCGGGCUCCGAGCCCGAUUAGUGUCGGAGAGAAGUUGUUAAGCAAGCUGCCUGGAAGUACGUCGCAAGAC
rnacentral:rRNA from 1 species